rnacentral:ribozyme from 1 species
GCUGCUCGAAACUUUGCACACCUCUUCGUGGUGGGCAGCAGGCAACACAUCAGAAUGUGGCUAAGAUGCAGAG